rnacentral:rRNA from 1 species
UGGGGAAUAUUGCGCAAUGGGGGGAACCCUGACGCAGCGACGCCGCGUGAAGGAAGAAGGUCUUCGGAUUGUAAACUUCUUUGACUGGGGACGAAGGAAGUGACGGUACCCAGAUAACAAGCCACGGCUAACUACGUGCCAGCAGCCGCGGUAAUACGUAGGUGGCAAGCGUUGUCCGGAAUUACUGGGUGUAAAGGGCGUGUAGGCGGGGAUGCAAGUCAGGUGUGAAAAACCAUGGCUCAACUGUGGUCUUGCAUCUGAAACUGUAUUUCUUGAGUACUGGAGAGGGAAGUGGAAUUCCUAGUGUAGCGGUGAAAUGCGUAGAGAUUAGGAGGAACACCAGUGGCGAAGGCGGCUUCCUGGCCAGAGACUGACGCUGAGGCGCGAAAGCGUGGGGAGCAAACAGG